UCCACCUCCUGCCACUCGUAUUUGCCCUCCAGGGGCUUGUGAUUCUGGAAAUCAAAAUUCCACUUGCGCUGGCUCGCCUCUUCCAUGUCUCUGCAGUGCUUCUCCAAGUCCCGGGUCAACUCUUCGUGGUUGACCGGGCCGAAGAGGUUCCUGCAGGCGGAGGGCUUGGGGUACUCGGCCUGUCUGGCGUCCAUCCGCUCGAGGCUCGGGCUCCCGUUAGACACUCGCACGUUUGACAUCCUCCUCCCCGGUCUUCACGACCGCCGCGAGCGCGCGCGCUCUCUCCCUCUCUCGGAAAACAAAACUGAACAAAACAAAACGCCCCGACCCAGCCCGAACCGCCCCCUAGAAAGCCCUGCGAUCGCGCUCGGAGCCAAGAGAAACAAACACGCGCAAAUGAAGCCCUGAGACAGAAGGCUGAGUGUUCCAAAGCCACGGAGGAAAGCGGAAAAGGCAUGAAGACUAGUGUGCCUGCGCUUGUGAAGCACAGUCCAGAGUCCAUGAAAUCAAGAACAUGGGAAGGAUCUAGGAAAAAGAGACUGGAAAGGAGCCAUUGAUUGGAUUGGAAUAGAGCCUAGAGAGAGAUGACCAAGAGACCAAGCUAAAGAGUUUCAAGGAGAGAAAAGUCAUGGUUCAAGUGCUGCUGAUAAGAAAUAUGAAGACUGAAGACCUACCAUUGGAUUCUAUCACGGAGGUCACUGGUAUCUUGAUAAGAAUAGUUUUGGUAGACUGGAAGAUAUGAAAACCUGACUGCUAUGUACCCACAUGAAUAAAAUAUGCACACAUGUACCUAUUGUAAGCAGAGGGUGGGAAGGUUCUAAUAUCAGGCAACCAGUCUGGAAGCAGGCCAGGGUUAAGGUCUGAGCAUUGGCAGAUGGGGAGUAAACACAUUAAAAAGGUGCCUCCCACUGA